GUCCUUUUGAUAAUAAUUUAAGGUCUAACCUGCCCACUGAAUAUUUAAAUGGCCGCAGUAUUUUGACUGUGCAAAGGUAGCAUAAUCAUUAGUUUUUUAAUUGAAAGCUGGAAUGAAUGGUUGGAUAAGAAAAUUUCUGUCUCUAUUUAAUUUUUUUUAGAAUUUUAUAUUUAAGUUAAAAAGCUUAAAUAUAUUUAAAAGACGAGAAGACCCUAUAGAGUUUAAUAUAAUUAUAUUUAUAUUUUUAAAGAUUUAAAUUUAUAUACAUAUAAUUAUAUUUAAUUGGGGUGAUUAAAAAAUUAAAUAAACUUUUUUUUUAUAAUUACAUUGAUUUAUGAUUUAUUGAUCCAUUUUUUAUGAUUAAAAGAUUAAAUUACCUUAGGGAUAACAGCGUAAUUUUUUUGGAGAGUUCUAAUCGAUAAAAGAGAUUGCGACCUCGAUGUUGGAUUAAAAUUAAUAAUUGGUGUAGAAGCUAGUUAAUUAGGUCUGUUCGACCUUUAAAAUUUUACA
rnacentral:rRNA from 1 species